rnacentral:rRNA from 1 species
CCAAUAGCGUAUAUUAAAGUUGUUGCAGUUAAAAAGCUCGUAGUUGAAUUUCGGGAUUAGUACGUUGGUCGUGCCUUGGUACGUACUGGUGUAACUGAUUCCUCCCUUCUGACGAACCGUUAUGCCAUUAAUUUGGUGUGGCGGGAAAUCAGGACUGUUACUUUGAAAAAAUUAGAGUGUUUAAAGCAGGCUCGCGCUUGAAUACAUUAGCAUGGAAUAAUGAAAUAGGACGUUGAUCCUAUUUUGUUGGUUUCUAGGAUCGACGUAAUGAUUAAUAGGGAUAGUUGGGGGCAUUAGUAUUCAAUUGUCAGAGGUGAAAUUCUUGGAUUUAUUGAAGACUAACUACUGCGAAAGCAUUUGCCAAGGAUGUUUUCAUUAAUCAAGAACGAAAGUUAGGGGAUCGAAGACGAUCAGAUACCGUCGUAGUCUUAACCAUAAACUAUGCCGACUAGGGAUCGGAUGAUGUUAAUUUUUUAAUGACUCAUUCGGCGCCUUACG